GCCUACAACAUAUCAUUAAUGCAUCAGAUCCCAAUAGAACUUCAUUGUUAAGCGCACUCGGGCUAGAGUAGUAUUGGGAUGGGUGACCGCUUGGGAAGCCUAAUGUCUUACAUGCC
rnacentral:rRNA from 1 species